ensembl:lncRNA
GUCUGCCAUCAUGUUAGUGUCCUCCAUGCAGCUGCUUUCUCAGUGGCUGUUACCUGAACUGAGGGAGGAAGAGAUAGUCGGGGAGAGCCGUCGCCGUGCCAAGGGAUGCCAGCUGUCCUAUAUCGGGAAUUCAACAGUGAUGGGGACAGCAAGGAGACUGAAAGGCCCUGAGUCUGACCUCUCCACAGCACCCAAAACACAGAAUGGACUUCCACAGCAUCCUUUGGAAUAGGCUCUAUAGAUUAGAAUAUAUUGAUCAUAUAUUGGGGAAUAGCAAUAUGCACAUCAUCACAUCUUU